rnacentral:rRNA from 1 species
UACGUAGGGGGCAAGCGUUGUCCGGAAUCAUUGGGCGUAAAGCGCGUGUAGGCGGGACGGCACGUCGGUCGCUGAAAGCCCCCGGCUCAACCGGGGAACGGGCGCCGAUACGACCGCCCUGGAGGGACGUAGGGGGACCUGGAACUUCCGGUGGAGCGGUGAAAUGCGUUGAGAUCGGAAGGAACGCCCGUGGCGAAAGCGAGGUCCUGGACGUCUGCUGACGCUGAGACGCGAAAGCCAGGGGAGCGAACGGG